rnacentral:lncRNA from 1 species
UUGAUGGUAAGCACUAAGGAGUGCUUGUUUGAGAAAAUUACUUGGAUCCUAAAUCUAAUGGGUUUGGGAGACAAUAAGUUGUUUUUUUUUCUGUUCUUUUUCUGGUAACCCUUUUUUCGCUAAUAUGUAAACAAAUUGCACAUCCCACUAUGGUGAUGAAGUAUCUGAAUUCAAGCUCUUGGGUCUUGGCUCUGUUUAUUCUUUUUUUGGUGUGCAUUAUUAAUUUUGAUGGACACCUUAGGCUAUUUGAAUCAAGAACUGUGGUAGCUUUAGAUGGUUAAUUGUAAAGAUAAUGAAUGAUUAUGUAGUGGAUGAUUUUAUUAAGUUAAUAAUAUUUUAGUUUUUUGUAACUUUUCAAUUAUUUGCUAUGGGGACAUUGAGUCAGCCACGUACGCAAAAAGAAUGUCAAAUUUUGAUUUGGCAACAAUAUAAUUUGUUACCAAAGCAUUGAACAAGUUUUAAUAUAGCAAUAAUUUUUUAUACAUUUAGCAACAAAUUUUUGUUGUUAAUGGCAUUAAAAAUAUAAUAUUUGGCAACAAAAAAUUAACCUAAUAACAACGGAGAGGAUAUUGUUGAUAAUAUUAAAAUAAAAGGCAACAUUUUUUAUUGUUGCAAAUCAUAUCAACUUUCGUUGCUAUUGAAAAAUAACUAGCAACAAACAUUUUCGUUGCUAAUUCAGCAUAAUGUCAUUGCCAAAUAAUAUAAUCAGC